ensembl:lncRNA
CCCCUCCUCCCUGCCCCCCAGGCUUCCCUGUGUUUUUCACUUUGGAAGAAUGCUUCUAGAACUUCUCUGCAAUUCCUGAGCCCGCGUGUGUUGGUGCAGACACCCACGGGUGGGAGAACUUUGGAUUCUGUCCCCAGCAGGUCUGGGCUACUUCCGGUCGGCACAGACCACCCACCUCCAUCAGCCCCUGUGGUUUUUCAGGGUCUUCCGUGCUGGGUGGUUGCCAGAUUUGCUCUGUAACGAACAGGCUGAGCAGUACCCUUGGGCCGGCCCUCCCUGUGGGUGCCGGGGUGUUUAUCUGGGAGGAGGACAGCAGUUGCAAGCACUGCUCAGUGCUACAGUGUAACAGGCUAUCCUGAGACUUUUCCUGCAGGAAUCAUUUAGUUCUCCCAAAAGCUGCUGGGGGCUUACUGUGACUGUCUCCAUUUCACAGAUGGGGAAAUGAGGCACAGAGAAGUUAAGUAACUUGCCCGAGGUCACACAGCUAGUAAGUAGAGUUGCGGGGUCGUGUGUAUGCAUGUUUUUCAGAAAGCAGCUUUUGUUUUAAUCAAGUAAUAUAUGUGCCUUGUUUAAUGAGCAGACAGCACCAAUAGACUUUGAGCGAAGAGAAGCUGUUCCCUGUCCCCUUUUCUCUUUGCCUUUUUUGAGGAGAGGAGAGGGUGUGUCAGGCUCCUAUCCUGGAAAGACUUAGUGGGAAUCUUGAUGUGCUCCUGGAGCAGAGGCUGAGUCGGACCGCUGUGGCCUCGGUGAGUAGGGGCUGCCCNNNNNNNNNNNNNNNGCGGGGGGGGGGGUGGACAGCAGUGGGGGCUACAGCCACACUGAUAGUGACGGGGCGCGGUGACCCUAAGGCCGCCCGGCCCAGUGUGGACAUAUCUGCCCAAACCCAGGCGCUCUGCGCUGAGACUGAGGCCACGUCUGGGCACUGCUGCAGUGCUAGUUUCUGGAACAUCAGGGCUGGGAAUCUGGGCUUGGAGGAAGGGGGCUCCUGUCCAGACGCCUUCCGGGCCAGCAGCAGGCUGGAGUUCGUGCGACUUCUUGGAAGUGCACCUCCGGACUUCAGCCAGGAAGAAGGUGUCUGAUGCCCCCGAGGAAAUCCCCGCAGGCCUGGUGAGCAAGCAGGGGUCCUGGGCCGCCUUCAAAACAGGAAGCGCCCGUUCCAGGAACACCAGCGGCAGGAAGCUUUGCUGGCUCUGCCUGGCGCCUCCCGCACGGCAGAGCUGAGUUCUGCCGCUGGUCAGGUGGGUCACCCUUUGCUCCUGGGCCUGGCCAGGCAGGUCACCUGAGGCUUUGUUUGUCCAGGAAGUGGAGGGAGCUGCUGCCUGGAAUUGUCACCCAGUCCUUCCUGCCACAUACAGUUUGGCCUGGCCUCAGCCUGAGGGGCUCCUGGGACCCUGGGACUGAGACUCCCUCUGCCCACCACGCAGAGGGGUGCUGGGGCAGGGAGAGGCCACGGCCCGGGAGAGCAGCAACGCAGUGUCUGGGCGGCUUAGUUGUCAGAAGCCGGAUGGUCGUCUUUAUUUGACUCGACUCACGGUGUUCUUCUAGCACUUGCCGACCGCGGGACCAGCCCGGGCCCCCCUGGGGCAGAGGACAGGGCAGGCUCCUGCCUCAGGGGCUCCAGAAGGGGGCGCCCCGAGAAUUCCCCCACUCGGUCGGUUCUGGUUUAAAAGUCCUAGCCGCG